rnacentral:lncRNA from 1 species
GGCCUUUCUAUGGCGGGAGCAGCUGGUGGCUCUUUUACUGCUGUGCAGGCCGCGGCACUGACCGCGUCUGGCCCACCUGGGUGCCCGGACGCAAGGGGAGAUGGGAGAUGGGAGUACAGACCCAAAGCUUCGAGGGAUUGGAAGUGAGAAGCCCAGGAUGCCUGGAUGAUGCCUAAAACACAACCCUUUCCCAGUGUCUGACCCAGAGACCAAGUCCUGAUCAAAAUUCGCCUUUGGAAGUGCUCUGUAGAACUCUGGUGGGAAAGGCCCCUAUUGAAUUGUUCUGACAAGUCAUGCUACAAAUCAAAGCCAGAGGAAAGGUCGUGUAGAUACUUGAGAGCCAAGCCCAAGGCUCUCCUUUUCCGGAUGUAUUGUCAGUAGGAAUUGGGUCACUUUAGGUAGAUUAUGUGGAAUCCUACCCUUUCUUUCCUUAACUGUUAAUGCUAUCAGCAUUUACCCUGGUCCUGUGGCUAAACUCCA